GCGGGCCUAACAAGCAGAGCUGUGUGUACAAACACAAAGGCACGCUCCGGCACACUGCUGUCUGGUGGCACAUGGACUGGGCUACUGGCCGGGAGACCGGGCUACCAACAGAGUGACAGCAGUGGAUGGAGGUGCAUGGAGCAUCCUUUUUGGCCACUAUGAAUGAAAUAAAGCAUUACUGAUGACUAAUA